rnacentral:tRNA from 1 species
AGGAUCUUAGUUUAAUGCUAAAACAUAGGACUUUUAAGACCUAAUAUACGGCUUGGGAUUCCGUAGAUCCUU